rnacentral:lncRNA from 1 species
GGCCCUUGCACUUGAACCCUUGCUUUCUGCUCUGAAUGGGGCAACAGCUGCCUAUGAGAAGGGAGCCUUUCCUGCGUGUGCUCACAGUGACUGAGGAGCGGGGACGAACAUAUUUGCCGCAAGCUGCUCUCUCGGGAGGCAGUGAGGGAGGGGAGAAGCUGCCUCAUAGGGACCUGCUCCUGGGUCUCCCUCUGUGACCCCCAGACCCAGUGAGUCUCAAAUCAGAGCUUCUCAAACUCCUCUGCACAUGUGCAUUGCCUGGAGAUCUUAAGAUGCAGAUUCUGAUUCAGGAGGCCUGGAACAGGCCCAGAGCUUCUGCACGUCUCCUCGGCCCCAGGUGACGCAGUGCUGCUGGCUCCUGGCCCGUGUUUGAGAGGAGGAAACGGAAGCCCAGGUAAGUUAAGCAAUUUAGCCAAAAUCGCCAAGUCCGCCACCACCUCCCCUCCCACCUUCACUGCAGCACAGCACGUGCCCCCGCCACCUGCUUAGAGAAAGUGACAUUCUUCUCAGGAAGCAGCCCUGCCCUAGGGUGCGUUUGAGUCAAUGAAUUAGUGCAGUUUCCUCUCAGGAAUUUCUGCAGUUUUGGUCUGGUCCCGUUGGAGUUCCCCAUUAUGGCUCAGCAGAAAUGAACUGACUAGUAUCCACGAGGAUACGGGUUCGAUCCCUGGCCUUGCUUAGUGGGUUAAGGAUCUGGUAUUACUGUGGCUGUGGUGUAGGCUGGCAGCUACAUCUCUGAUUUGCCCCCUAGCUUGGAAACUUCCGUAUGCCAUACCUGCGGCCCAAGAGAUGGCAAAAAGACAAAAAAAAAGAAAAAGACCAGACUAGCAAACUAAACUAAGGAGAUUCCAGGCUACAUCAAAAAAGUGAGCACCUACGCCAUAAACCCUGUUUCACCGCAUCAGCAGACCAAAAACCUCCAGGGUGUGUGAGAGGUGUUUGCUCUCAAUCUGGUUACCAGCUGCUCAGGAGGAACUGUGUUCCUCCCCAAGUUCGUAUGUUGAAGUCUAAGCCCCCGGGACCUCAGAAUGUGACUGCGUUUGGACACAAGUCCUUUUUUUUUUAUUAUUUAAAUAAAGUUUUAUUGGAGUUCCUGUCGUGGCACAGUGGUUAACGAAUCCAACUAGGAACCAUGAGGUUGCGUGUUUGGUCCCUGGCCUUGAUCAGUGUGUUAAGGAUCCAGCGUUGCCAUGAGCUGUGGUGUAGGUCACAGAUGAGGCUCGGAUCUGGCAUUGCUGUGGCUGUGGUGUAGGCUGGCAGCUACAGCUCCGAUUUGACCCCUAGCCUGGUUACCUCCGUGUGCCAGGAGCAGCCCAAGAAGUGGCAAAAAGACAAAAAAAAGUUUUAUUGAAGUCUAGUUGAUCUGCCAGGUUGUGAUAAUUUCUGCUGUACAACAAAGUGAGUUAUCCGUGUACACAUGUUCAUUUUUUCUUCGGAUUCUUCUCCCAUGUAGACUGGACAUAGAUCCUUUAAAGAGGCGAAAAUCCUAUAGGACUGGUGUCCUUAUAAGAAGAGGUGAGGACACAGACUCACAGAGGGAAGACAGCCCUUUACAGGCCACUGAGAGAGGCCUCGGGAGAAAGCAAACCUGCCAACACCUUGAUCUUGGAUUUAACGACCUCACAACAGGGAGGAGAUUGUUUGUUUAUAAACCACCCAGUCUGUGGUACUUUGCUACGGCGGGCCUAGGAAACGAACAUACCAGCUAAUAAGAUGGAGACAGAAAGGAGGUAGCGCAUGUCCCCUUGGCAUGUUCUGCAGGAAUGUGUGCUCAGAAUGGCCAUCUCCCAGCAGCGGGAUGCCAGGUGGCAGAGCCUGGUUUCUGAGAAGAUGAGGGCAGGGCAAAGCAGAAUUUCUGUUCCUCAAAUUGCACACACUGCCCCAGUGAGAGAUCUUUUUAAGCUACUUCUAACCAAGUAAUUUAAUAGAGAAAAAAUUGAGAGCAGCAGUGUUCACAACAGCCAAAAGAUAGAAACAUUGCAAAGAAUCAGCAACAGAGGAGCAGAUGGCAUGUGGCGUAUCCACACCACGGAAUAUUCGGUCUUAAAAAGGAAGGAAAUUCCAACACCUGCUACAAUACAAUGUGCGUGGACUUCGAAGACAUUCUGCUAAAGGAAAUAAGCCCGACACGGAGGACAAAUAUUGUAUGAUUUCAUUAAUACGGUAUGUAGAGUAGUCAAAUUCGUUCAGGCAGAAAGUAGAAGACGACUUACCAGGGAUGGGAGUCCUGUUACAUGGGUAGAGUUGGUGUUUGGAAGGAUGAAAAGGUACAGAGAGUCAUGGCAGUUACACAGUGUUAGUACUAUACUCAGUGCCACUAAACUAUGCUCUUAAAAUGAUAAAUAAUCUGUUACGUAGUCUAUCGCAAUUUUACCAGUUUGGCAUAAACCAAAGUUAAAAAUUUUUUUUUCUCAAAAAUGAAUUGUACUGAGACAUUUUCAGCCUCCUAGUUGAGCAGAAAGUCUUACUGGGAAAGGAAGGUGGAAUUUGGGAUUUUGGCAAUGAAUGGGAGGGAGAGUCUUUCAGAGAAAAGAUUUGUGUGGCUUCAAGUGAGUGAGAUGAGGAGAGUUAGGGUGCUAGGGGGUCAGAGGGAAGAGGAUUGGAAAAGUCCAAUGAGAGAUGUCAACUCUUCUCAAUUUUUUCCCCAGCAGGUUCCUUUCUCACCCCUUCUCCCAACCGUGGCUUGAUUUUCUCCGUAGCUACGUACUUCCCUGUGGAAGCUUUGAGCCUCCAGGCACCCACAGCACUCUCACUUCACACCUGUUUCCCUCUUUACCCAUUAAAGUGUAAUAUCCUGAAAGGUUACACGACUCAGACAAAUAUAAAGUGCUUGCUUAACAUAUUAAUUCUACUUAAUGUAGUAAUUAAUGAAAGAACAAUUAAGAAGUUAGAAACCAGUGCAAAUGAGAUUUAGACCUACAGGAUUUAUAUUUUCUACCAGACAAGAUUCUUUUGCAUGAGCGGGACCCAGCAGCAUUGCUAGAGACAGGACAUGUUUGCAUGACUCUCCCUUUCCUCCAAGUUUACACCUAUCCCUAAGGAUACCCUAUGGAUAACCCUAACCCUAACUAGUCCAGCCAGAGACAAUCUUAGAGGAUCUGGCACUCCUGGGUGGUCUGGGGGACAACACCCCCGCAUUUCAUGGGAAGGAUACCAGUAAUUUCUUGCCCAUUUCCAAACCUUGGUCAGCUUUCCUAGCAUCUCUAUUUUGCAAUGUGUAAGUGGGGGAGUUUGCAGCCAACGCUGUGGGUCUGGUCCAACCUGUCUUGGGCUGAGCGGAAGUCACCCUUUUAGCUGACCUCCUUCCAAGGUCACUUGAGCUUCACGUCUGCAUCCCCGGGCACCCACUAUUACUUGAACUUCUGCCAACAUUCCAGCAUUUUCUGCCCCAGCGUUUACUACUUUGUUGUAUUUAAUCUACCUGUGGCAAAACGCUGCUUGUGGUCCCAGCUCAAUCACCCACAGCCCUCCCUCAUGCUCUGCAUCCAUGUCCUUCAUUCUGGGGUGGGAAAACCAAUAUCUGCUCCUUUAGUACAAUACUUUCUCGCUCAUUCUGUGGCAGCUAACAGUUCACAAUGGGGCAGAAAAAGGAUCCAGCACUAUAAACAUUUUUAACAAUAUUUGAAGCAUGUACUCAAUUUGAGUGCUUAUUCUGUUAGGCUUUAUAUUUAGAGCUUAGAUAGAUUUUUAUUCUAAAGCCUUUCCAAUCUGGGGGGUAACAGCCAGGAAAUCAGAUCAUUAGCAAACUGAGAAUCUGAGAAAUGCCACCACCGUGUAUGGCCUUCUGAUGCCCUCACCUUUUAGAGGCCUGUUGCUUUGCCCAAAUUCCACAUAGCUGUAAGCCUUGGAGCACACAGCCUGUGAGUUCCUUCGAGUACCUGUUAUUGUGUACAAGGAAUGACUUAUUGGGACAAGCCAUGGCCACCCCCACCCCGUACCGCAGAAUGUGACCUUGUUUGGAAAUAGAGUCCUUGAAGAUGUAAUCAGUUAAGAUGAGGACAGACUUCCUGUCCUGGCUCAGUGGUAAUGAGCCCGACUGGUAUCCAUGAGGACGAACAUUCGAUCCCUGGCCUCGCUCAGUAGGUUAAGGAUCCAGUGUUGCUGUGGGCGGUGGUGGAGGUCACAGACACGGCUCAGAUCUGGCAUUGCUGUGGCUGUGGCGUAGGCCAGCGGCUCCAGCUCCAAUUCGACCCAAGCCUGAGAAUUACCGUAUGCUGAGGGUGUGGC